UAUUUCACAUUCUCCCCCUCUCUCUCUCUCUCUCCUCCCCUUUCUCCCCCACUCUCUGCUAAAACCUAAACACCACCAUUUUCCCCUGCUUCCAUCUUUACCGUGACCCUGUUUUGAUUUUAUUGUUCCUGCUUCUCGUUCACGAAGACCGCUACUAUGUUUGUGUAAUAUGUUAUAAUGAAUCAAUCAAAUUUCAGUAAUUAGAUUAAAUUUAUUUUGUGUUCUAUGGAUUAAAGGUGCUUAUUUGAUUAGGUUUUUUUUCUAGAGUUUACAUUUUAUUAGCUUAUACAGAUUAAUCUAACACUCUUGUGUUUCAAUGAUGGGAUCAGAUUUUUAUUUUAUUUUUUUUUACUUUGAUUUUUAUUAUCUUGAACAUGUCUGUUUUUUUUCAGCCAGAAUUUCACCCAUUGAAUCUAAGUUUCGAUGGUUAUAUUUUUGGUUAUAUUUCGAUUUUCCUGUAAAUUACGUUUAUAUUCCCAUUUAUCGAUGUGAUGGUUAUAAAUAAAAUAAUAAGAAGUGUAAAAUUGGAAGUUCAAAAUUUGCAGCUUCACUUGCUACAGUAAGGGGUGUUCCCUUUAUAUGAUAGAAUAGAUAAAUAUACCUAUGCUUCAAAACAAAACAAAACAAAACAAAACAAAAAAAAGAUUUCCAGAACAGUUGCACCCUUCUAGUUUUAGUAGGGCAUUUCAAAAAUAAGAUGCUCUAUGCCCAAAGCUUUGGAAAAUGAUACCUGGUCUCCCUUGUCUUUGAGCAGUGUAAUUAUUUCGUCUUUAGUGGGUUUUGCUGCACUGAUUGUAAGGGAUCAAAGUGCAAUUUUUCCUGCAAGUAGGUAUUUUGUUGUUUUCACUUUCGCGACUUUUUGGUCUUUUUCAGAAUCCUUGAAGGCAAAGUGCUUGAUAAAUUGUGAAGGUCCUAUUCUUGAUCGGAAAUAUAAUCAGCUUUAAGCAAUAUUUGGUGAUUCGAUGAAUCAAGCUUCUCAGCUAGUAUAUGCUAUGGAAAGCUGCGUGCGAGACUCAAAUCAAGAACAAAAGUUUAACAGAAGAGGGCAAAUUUCCUUAAAAACAGGCAACCUACGCCCUCCGAGUCGUUGUUGAGGUCCAUACAGAACACCAUUGAUGUAAGCUUCAAGAGUAGAGGAUGCCGAUGGAUUAGCUGAAGCAGGAGUGUCAGCAGUGUUGAUUAUGUAAUCAUCCAGUGGUGUCCAAUAUGUCACUCCAGUAGUAGUUUGAACUGUACUCAGCAGCUCCUCCUAGCACAAGAAUGCCACCACAUUGGAAGUCUCGUGAGAAGUGGUGGAUCAACAGAUGAAUACAUAGUAAAACGAUAUAUACCUGCGGCUGUGUUAUGUGAUUGCUGCUGGUAAGAUAUACCCAGGGAACAGUAGUUGCUGCGAAGACUUGUUGAUCACUGGGGAUCAUCAUUGGUGCAGCUGCUAAAGAAGAUGAUGCUGACCUGUUAAAACCACCAUUUGGAUGAAGGAAGUGGCAUUUGGAACCAUGUCGGCAUGAAUUUGUUCCUACGAACUUGCAAACAACCUGAUCACUCCAUCUUCUACUGCUGUUAGUGGGGGAGUAUCCACUACUAGUAGGGCUGGCAGUUGAUUUCAAGUUCUCAUUUAACUGCAUUUUAAAUCAGCAUCUCAAUCAAAAAUCAAUAAUGUAUGUCUGCAACUCUCAUGACCCACUGUACUAUGGUGCAGAGUCGAACUAAGUUUGUUAGUGAAACUUACAUGAGGAGAUGAUGCUGAUGGUGGAGAGCUGAAUGAAGUCAGACUGCGUUGGUACCUCGAAUUGUACAGACUGUCCGUGUUUUUGCUCUCCAACAGUUGAUCAAGCGGUUUUGAGCUUGAUUUAGAAACGGGUUGGUUUCCUCCUGAUCUGUUUGGUAUGUCUAAUGAGGAUGGUGGUGUUGAUGAAGUCUCGAGAGUUGUUUUCAAGCACUCCUUUUCCUGCCUUAACUGCAAAAGCAGCAACUCAACCACCAAUCAGGAAUGCUUGCUUCCAACUCUCAUUGCCCACUACAAUAUGGUGUAGAAUUAAGAACCAACAAUUACAGGAAAACUUACAUGAGGAGACAAUGAUGAGGAUGAUAGUGGGGAGCGGAGCGAAGUUGGACUGGGUUGGAAUCUCAAACCAUAAGAACUGUGUUCCUUUUUGUUCUCCCAUGGUCGAACAGGCGACUCUGAGCUCGAUUUAGAAAUGGAUCGCUUUCCUCUGCCAGAUCCAUCAAAUGAGGGUGAUGAUGUCAAUGAAGUCACAAGAAAGCCAUCCAUUACUAUUACAUCUUCUUCUGCUGCUGGUGAAUGAUUAUAUCCUGUUGCCUGUGGUGAUCUUGAUGGAGGUGUUUGUGGCGAUCUUGAUGGAGGUGUUUGUGGCGAUCUUGAUGGAGGUGUGUUAGUCAUUAGAUUCUCAUUUGAAUUCAGAGGUAAUGGAAAUGGUGGUGAUGAUGAUGAAGGUGACAAAUUAAGGUUCUGAAACUGGCGAUCCAUCAUCACAUCAAGGAAUUGAUCAUCAUUCGUAAUUGAGCUGUUGUUCUGCAAAGAAGAUAGAGAUCUUAAUGAUUUUCCACUACUCAGAUAUGUUUUCUCACGGUUGAUUAUUGAUUGAUGAUGAUGACUUUUAUUGGCUGUUAUCAUCUUCGAACUAAUCAUUGUUAAAUUUGAACAGAUUAUUCUGUUUCCCGCUGAAAAAUUGGAAAGAAAUUAAUAUUCAAAAUCGUUUAUUCUCGUA